CUUUUUCUUCUAACAAAAAUGGAUAAGAAAGGAGUAACUCUAGCAAAGAUGAUUAAUAUUUAUGCACAUGUUUAAAUUUGUAUUUUUUGUUAUGUAUGCACCACAUUCAUUGUUUUUAAUGUUUUUUUCUGUUUGUU